rnacentral:rRNA from 1 species
UACGUAGGGUGCAAGCGUUAAUCGGAAUUACUGGGCGUAAAGCGUGCGCAGGCGGUUUUGUAAGCCAGAUGUGAAAUCCCCGGGCUUAACCUGGGAAUGGCAUUUGGGACUGCAAGGCUUGAGUGCGGCAGAGGAGACUGGAAUUCCUGGUGUAGCAGUGAAAUGCGUAGAUAUCAGGAGGAACACCGAUGGCGAAGGCAGGUCUCUGGGCUGACACUGACGCUCAUGCACGAAAGCGUGGGGAGCGAACAGG